rnacentral:rRNA from 1 species
GAUGAACGCUGGCGGCGUGCCUAAUACAUGCAAGUCGAGCGAACAGACGAGGAGCUUGCUCCUCUGACGUUAGCGGCGGACGGGUGAGUAACACGUGGAUAACCUACCUAUAAGACUGGGAUAACUUCGGGAAACCGGCGCUAAUACCGGAUAAUAUAUUGAACCGCAUGGUUCAAUAGUGAAAGACGGUUUUGCUGUCACUUAUAGAUGGAUCCGCGCCGCAUUAGCUAGUUGGUAAGGUAACGGCUUACCAAGGCAACGAUGCGUAGCCGCCCGAAGAGGGUGAUAGGGCACACGGGAACUGAGACGCGGUCCGGACUCCUGCGGGAGGGAGCAGUAGGGAAUCGUCCGCAAUGGGCGAAAGUCUGACGGAGCAACGCCGCGUGAGUGAUGAAGGUCUUCGGAUCGUAAAACUCUGUUAUUAGGGAAGAACAAAUGUGUAAGUGACUAUGCACGUCUUGACGGUACCUAGUCAGAAAGCCACGGCUAACUACGUG